rnacentral:rRNA from 1 species
AGUGAACGCUGGCGGUAGGCCUAACACAUGCAAGUCGAACGGCAGCACAGUAAGAGCUUGCUCUUACGGGUGGCGAGUGGCGGACGGGUGAGGAAUACAUCGGAAUCUACUUUUUCGUGGGGCUAAUGGAAGGGAAAUUUAGUACAUCACGCAAACAGACGUUGGGUGAAAACAGGGGAACAUCCGCCCUUGCGCCACUUCAAUAGGCGCUUGCGGAGUAGCUAGUUGGCGGGGUAAAGGCCCACCAAGGCGACGAUCCGUAGCUGGUCUGAGGGGAUGAGCAGCCACACUGGAACUGAGACACGGCCCAGACUCCUACGGGAGGCAGCAGUGGGAAAUAUUGGACAAUGGGCGCAAGCCUGAUCCAGCCAGACCGCGUGGGUGAAGAAGGCCUUCGGGUUGUAAAGCCCUUUUGUUGGGAAAGAAAAGCAGCAGGUUAAUACCCCGCUGUUCUGACGGUACCCAAAGAAUAAGCACCGGCUAACUUCGUG